rnacentral:lncRNA from 1 species
GUGAUUUCUACAGAAAUUCUCGAUGACUUUGAGUAAUUUUAAGCUGCAUAGUUGAAAAACAUCUGUCUUGUCUAGCCUUGGCAAUAAAACUCUCCCUCCUGACCUCCGUGAAAUAACCAACAUUUACCUGGCUCUGCACGUCCUAGAUGUCCUGCUGCAGGUAGUCUUCUUUUGUGGCGGGUAAUUUCCAGAACUCCUGCUUCACUUGCUAUAGGAAUCACACAGAUGAUUAAAUACAGAGGAUCUCAAGCUAGUGAUUGAGCUGUGUUCAGGUAACAU